rnacentral:misc_RNA from 1 species
GAUGAAGAACGUAGUGAAAUGCGAUAAUUAAUGUGAAUUGCAGAAUUCAGUGAAUCAUCGAGUCUUUGAACGCACAUUGCGCCCCCUGGUAUUCCGGGGGGCAUGCCUGUCCGAGCGUCAUUGCUGCCCUCAAGCACGGCUUGUGUGUUGGGCUUCCGUCCCUGGCAACGGGGACGGGCCCAAAAGGCAGUGGCGGCACCAUGUCUGGUCCUCGAGCGUAUGGGGCUUUGUCACCCGCUCCCGUAGGUCCAGCUGGCAGCUAGCCUCGCAACCAAUCUUUUUAACCAGGUUGACCUCGGAUCAGGUAGGGAUACCCGCUGAACUUAAGCAUAUCAAUAAGCGAGGA